rnacentral:lncRNA from 1 species
ACAACUGUUCUUCUACUUGAACUUCCCAUGUGGGAUGCAAGCUGCUGGUACCUUACAUGUACCUCUCUGUGCUGUGUUUUGCUGCUCAUGUAGAUGUCAGAAAUUGGAGUAACAUCUCACCCAGACAAGCAAGUGGAAUUAAUUCUUUAGUUUGAUUGAUGUGUCUACCAUUAUAACGUCUCAGAGUGGGCCACAGUCCAGUGAGUAAGUGUACAAACUACUUGUAAUGAAAUAUGUAAAUUUAGAAAUGUGAGUGUCAAGUGUCAUUAUUCUGAGUCUAACUAGCUGAUGGAAAAUAGUUACAAAAUAAUAGGCCAUUUAUGAAACACAGAAGGGCUAGCUUCU